rnacentral:lncRNA from 1 species
UUGAAACCACGAGUAAUUACCUGGCAUUAUUUCAUUAUCUCAGCUGGUUUUAUGACUUCGAACAUAUGAGAGUACUCUAACAUGUAAAAUAAUUCUUUCUCAGGUUCCAAAUAAGUCAACAGUAGGUCAAAAAUAGAGGUGAAACAUUGCCAGGCAGGCAGACACACAACAACAGUCGAUGAUUAUAGCUUAAGGUCCAAUGAGGAUAAUAUAAGUAGUGGAAAACGGAAUUUUGUAUCCACACCCCUAUUGAUCAAGGAGUAAGUCAACAUGAUACAAGGAACGUACAACAACACCCGAGACAAUAUAAUUACAACACUGCAAAAAAUUAGAGAUCCAUGUAAUCAAAUAUCUCUUUGUUAAAUUUUAGCUGAACAACUUAACUUAUAGAGUGCCGAUGGUUCAGAUCUUUUUCCUUUUAAUUAACAUGUGAGUUAUUAUAAAGUGGGUAAUUUCUUUUUGCGGUAUAUAAAGUGGGUAAUUUGUAUAGACUAAGACAUGGAAAAAGGGUGUAGGUGGUGCAAAUUCAUAGCAAGUUUUAUAUUGGAUGCACACAAACAACUGUGUGGACACACAAAAAGAAAACAAUCACUUUGAAAGUUUGAAUAGAAAUGUCUAAAUGAACAUCAGAUGGUCUAGUGUCUCCACUGAAAGCACUACAUGGACCCCUCAUUAACAAUUUAGCAAUGAACAAACAAUUCUAGUAUUUAGACAUGAGAAUACCUUGUACAGAAUUUCAAAGCCAUAAAAACGUUACCACUGGUUUGGGUAUCCUAGAAAUAAAAUAGAGGUAAUAAAUUCCUUAUAACUAAUCAGGUGAACAUAGAAAAUUGAUUACCUCUGGUUUGAUCCCAUGUGCUCUAGCCAAAAAUAGAUCAAAUCGGCAGGAUAUCCUAUAAGGAAACAAAUCUAGCAAGGAAACUGAUUAUUAUUAUAUCUAAUUUCCAGCUACCAGUGGUAGGCGCAAAGUGGAACACUAUUACGUAGGACAACAAAUUUGGGCAGGAGGAAGUAUAAUGGUUAUGAAUGCCAGGCAAAGUGUAUUAAGUUCAUAACUAUGAGCAUGCAAAUAAUUUAUAUGAAGGGUCCCUUUUCUUCUGCAUAAGUCAGACAUGUUGUAUGUAUGUGUAAUGUGUCCAACUGUACACAAAUACAAAAUAUAUAUUACAACGGAAAAUGCGUGAAUAUGAUGAUGAAUAACUUAUUCUGAACUCUUUUGCAUCUUGUAUAAUGGACAGGGAUUGAGAUUCUAAUUUUGGCACUACUGGAGAGUAUGUUGUGUGCAAAAAGAAACUACAUGCAGUAAUCUACAUGACUGUUCGUACCAACAGAGAAACAAUUUCGCAUUUAGUAGAUGUGUGUAUGUUUCGGGGUUACUUUCACAAUAUUUAGUUGGUAUAGAAAAAACACUUAAGGCUAGCAAAUAGAAUUAACCUAGUACAUAGAAAGUAGAGAACUGACUGCUGCAGUAAAUUAUGAACUGAUAUCACACAUAAAACAGUAACAUACCCCAAAAUCUAUUCCUCGCAGCUCCCCACAAGUCUUCCUUCGCCCUCUUCUGCUCCACCAACCCCUGUUAUGAUUUCUCUCCCCUUAAAUCAAUCUUCUUACUCCGCAUACCAUCUCUGUCUCCCCAGCCCAAACAUGCU